CUACAAUGGCGUAAACAAAGGGAAGCGAAGGCGUGAGCGUAAGNAAAACCCAAAAAAUAAACGUCCCAGUUCGGAUUGUAGUCUGNAACCCGACUACAUGAAGCUGGAAUCGCUAGUAAUCGCGGAUCAGAAUGCCGCGGUGAAUACGUUCCCGGGUCUUGUACACACCGCCCGUCACACCAUGGGAGUCGGAAAUGCCCGAAGUCGGUGACCUAACUGAAAGGAAGGAGCCGCCGAAGGCAGGUCUGGUGACUGGGGUGAAGUCGUAACAAGGUAGC
rnacentral:rRNA from 1 species